rnacentral:lncRNA from 1 species
GACACUAUGAUAUCAGUAUCUUCCGUAUCCUUGCAGGUCUUUCUAGGUACAUGAAAUGAGCCACAAUAACCUGAUUCAUAUCAUGGUCUUGAUACUUAGCAUAGCUUUACAUUCAAUGCCUCCCAUAAAAUCUCUUUGUAUUUUAAGAGGAGCCAUUAUUAAUAACUCAAAAGAAUGAGUUAUGAAAGCACAGCAUUAUCUAAAAUUAAUACACUAUAAAUGAAGGAUGUGUUACAAAUGUAGACUUUUCCUCUUUCUAUAAUUUCUCUCGUCCUAAUCUGGAGGCUCUAUCCUCACUUAUAGCAGCUGGUAAGAAAUCUUGGAAUUUUCCUGUAUAAGGUAAUUUUAUUUUUUCUGGUAAAUAGCAUUUCAUAUCUCACAAUCUAAGUUUUAACUUCUUACCUAUAGUGUUUCUUUCCUCCAAACUGUCUGUCUUCCUUAUCUUUCCCUAUAGAUGUGAGUGCACAUGGAAAUUUAUGGAGUCUCUCAGCAUUGUAGAAGAGCCUCUGUUUCUUCUCACUGGUUCCUGUCCUCCUCAGCUUGGUAUAUAACUCCUGAGGGCUGAAUACCUGGUUGCUGAAGGAUCCAGUCCCUGCCCUAUAACCGAGGAAGAAUUUCUACUUCCCCUUCCUGUCCAGAAGUGAUAUUCCCAGGUAUCACCUUUUUCUCUCCUGCCCUAUGGACUUCAGAUAUAUCUAUCUGCCUUUCACUAUGACAAUAAAUGUCACUGAUUUGCUUUAAUGGUAGAAAAGACUACAGAGAGAGAGAGUAAAAAUAAAAAAUGUAUUAAUAUGGGAGAAUAUACACCCAGAGGAAUUUUUGAAAAUAGUUUCUCCAUCACAGAAGCAAAACUAGAGCUGGGUGGUUUAUACUGGGUGAUAUAGUUUGGCUGUGUCCCUACCCAAAUCUCACCUUGAAUUGUAAUAAUUCCCAUGUGUCAAGUGUGGGACCAGGUAGAGAUAAUUGAAUCAUGGGGGUGGUUUUCCCCAUACCGUUCUCACGGUAAUGAAUAAGUCUCAUGAGAUCUGAUGGUUUUAUAAAUGGGAGUUCCCCUGCACAAGCUGUCUUGCCUGCUGUCAUGUAAGAUGUGACUUUGCUCCUCAUUCACCUUCUGCCAUGACUGUGAGGCUUCCCCAGCCAUGUGGAACUGUGAGUCAAUCAAACCUCCUUCCUGUAUAAAUUACCUAGUCUCAGGUAUGUCUUUAUUAGCAGUGUGAGAACAGACUAAUACUAUCUCCUCCUGUAGAUAGCAAAGGAGUGAUUCUACUGCAUUAACAUUAAUCUCAUGAAUUUAGCAUCAUUCCAGUCCUGGUUUUAGCUCAAGCCUAAUUGGAGGAGAGUAGACAGCAACCAGCUGUAAUACAAAAAGCAACCAUUUGGAAUCAGAGCUAGAUUCAAAUCCAGGUCUCAUCACUUCAUACAAUGUUACCUUUGGGCAAGUUAUUCUGUCUCUUUGGGCUUCAAGUGGCCUUUCCAAAAUGUCAUCUACAUCAUAAAAGUGUUGCUGAUAUUCAGUGAAAUAUUCCAUAUGAAACCCCUCACAAAGGACCAGGAACAUAGUAAGUCUAAAUACAUGUUUGUUUCCAUUCCUCCACCAUUUUCCUUUAUAAGAUGAAGUGAGAAAUUAUAUGCUCUCUGGGAAAUGGCUAUCUGCAAAGACUUGUGGCAUUCUACUUUCUGGAUAUAUUGCCUUAUGUCUGGCAAACUGUACUGAUUAAAACUUUGAACAGAAGAAGGAAAAACUAAUUUGGAAGGGCUAAUCAAGACUCUCCAUAGUCCAAAAGGGAUGAUUUCUCAGUUGUGCAGAGAACCAAUAAACCUCCAUCCUGAGGACAAAAGUAAUUUUGUGAAACUGCAUGAAGUUUCUCUAGAGAGAGAGACUUCACAAAGCCCAGUGGUCACAGCUGUGCAGUGGAACCGAACUACUUUGAAUCUCUGCCAUCAAAGGAAAGAAUCUCAGGAUUUUCUGCUACAGAAGCAUGAUCGUGUUUAAAUUCUUAAAAUGCUGCAUUAGCAAGAAUUCUCCACAGAAACAGACUCUCUCUCUAGAGUUGAGAGAGAGAGAGAGUUAAUAUAGGAAUUGGCUCAUGGGACAAUGGAGGCCAAGAAGUUCCAGAAUCUGAUGUCUGCAAGCCAGCAAACAAAGCCAAUAAUGUAAUUUAGUCUGAGUUCAAAGGCCCAAGAAUGGAGGUACUGAUGGUAUAAUUCCUGAUCUGAGUCUAAAGGCCCAAGAACCAGGAACACUCAUGUUAACAGAAAAUGAAUAGGCCAGGUGCAGUGGCUCACACCUGUAAUCCCAGCACUUUGGGUGGCUGAGGCCGGCAGAUCCAUCGAGGUCAGGAGUUUGAGACCAGCCUGACCAACAUGGUGAAACCCUGUCUCUACUAAAAAUACAAAAAUUAGCUAGAUAUGGUGGUGUGUGCCUGUAGUCCCAGCUACUUGGGAGGAUGAGCCACAAGAAUGAACCCAAGAGGCAGAGGUUGCAGUGAACUGAGGUUGCGCCACUGCACUCCAGUCUGGGUGACAGAGCAAGAAGAAAAAAAGAAGAGAGAUUAAUGUCUCGGCUCCAUAAGGAAAGAGAAAAU